rnacentral:lncRNA from 1 species
GGGAGCGCGGGGCCUGCCGGAGGUCGGGCGCUUCGCCUUUAGCGCCUCUCGCUGCCUUGCACCCACCCACCCUGGCCAAGCCCCCCUUUCUUGUCCCUAAAAAGUCUAAAUUAAGAAGACGGGACGUCUCCGUGUGGUGGGAGCCGCGGGAGGUCCGGAGGAGGCGGGCGAGUACCGGCCCUUCGAAGGCUUCAGCGGAGCGUUCGGAGCCUCCCCGAUGCUCUGUCUUUGCUACCUCAGAAAACUGCUCCAGUAUUUGUAGCUCCUCAGGAGCUGGAAUUCCCCUUGUUCAGAGUAGCCAAAGAAUGACAUCGAUGAGGAAGAAACAGACCUGGAGGUUGGAGAGGUACCUGGUCUCAGCGUUGGCAACAAGUGAAAGGGGAAGUCUACCUUGCAUAACCCAAACAGUGCUGCACUGAUAAUUUAUAUCUUGAAGUCCAGCUGUAAGACUGCAGAGAUAAGUGAAUGUGACAUGCACUUCAUGACCUG